CAGCAGCAAACUGACCAGUCCUGACAGAGCUCAACCCCCUCUCGAAUUUCGCUUGCAAGCCCCAGACUCCUAAGAACAGAACACCAAUGGAUUUAGAAACAGCCCAUGACUGUGGAGUGUGUUCAGACUCCAGAGGCUGGGGAAAAUGAAGAUCAUCUCCUAAACAGAAUAGUGUCCAAAGCCUCAUUCAGGGAAAAGAAUGAAUGGAAUCCCAAAACUUCUAAGAGCUCUUAACACACUACAAAUGGAGUUUAUAAUGGAGUAUAUCACUGAAGCUGGACUAUACUGAUGUCUGUUUGCCAUGCAAACCCAUUCACUGUCUGAAGGUUGCAUGCUCCAG